UACGGAGGCCUCGAACGUUAUUCGGAAUCACUGGGCUUAAAGCGCGUGUAGGCGGAUGGGGACGUCGGUUGCUGAAAGCCCCCGGCUUAACCGGGGAACGGGCGCCGAAACGCCCCGUCUCGAGGGACGUAGGGGGACCUGGAACUUCCGGUGGAGCGGUGAAAUGCGUUGAGAUCGGAAGGAACGCCCGUGGCGAAAGCGAGGUCCUGGACGUCUACUGACGCUGAGACGCGAAAGCUAGGGGAGCGAACGGG
rnacentral:rRNA from 1 species